AAGAAACUAAGGACACAUCUACAAAGCAAACAUUUACUUGCUAGCUAUCCAUGGCGCAUGCCCAUAAAAACAAACACCCCAUGAAGUUCUAGUGAGCCUAAAAUGGAAAUCCAACACCAAGAAUAUAUACCACCUGGUCCGCCUACACGUGUUGGCCCACCUAAGUAGUGUAGUUAAGCGGCUUCUUGCCUCACAAUUAAACAAAAUAUCUUCCUUUUGCUCUUCAUUUGCAAAUUUUUGGUAUAGUCUUAGGCCAAUGAUUAUCUUGAAUGUUUUGUACACAAUACCUAAUUACAAACAACUUUCCCCCAUUAACCUAUUGUGGCCUACUCUAUACAUAUCGAAAGACGAGAG
rnacentral:lncRNA from 1 species